CCGGCGCACGGGUGAGUAACGCGUAUGCAACUUGCCUAUCAGAGGGGGAUAACCCGGCGAAAGUCGGACUAAUACCGCAUGAAGCAGGGGCCCCACAUGGGGAUAUUUGCUAAAGAUUCAUCGCUGAUAGAUAGGCAUGCGUUCCAUUAGGCAGUUGGCGGGGUAACGGCCCACCAAACCGACGAUGGAUAGGGGUUCUGAGAGGAAGGUCCCCCACAUUGGUACUGAGACACGGACCAA
rnacentral:rRNA from 1 species